GUGUAGUCGGGUAUGAGAACGAUUGCAAGCAAAAGCAGCUGAGGGACGCUGUCCAAGGAGUAGGCUCAGUAGCACGAACUGCAAAUACUUGAGAAGGGAAAAGUUCAGCCUUGUGCUGGAAAGUGGUUUAGCAUGCUGGAGCUGGUUUUCUGCUUGGUAGCCCUACAACUUUGGCCCAACUACUUGGCCUCUGGGACUCAGAUUCCUCCUCUUUAAAAUGGUGCUAAUAAUAGCACCCACCCUCUGUGAGGAGGAUGCUGUGAGGACAAAAUGAGAUCAUCCACAUAAGCCGUGAACCCUGUUCCUGGUAAGGAAAUGAAUAACAUGAAGUGAAGUCUUCAUCUCCAUUCCCAACAGUCCCCAUUCUACUUGCAGAAAGGUUGCUUACACUGAAAAUCAGUUUAUUUUCCCCUGGUGCAAAGAACAGUCGUUUCUCCAAAACUGAAGCUGGAAAUUAUCUGAAAUAUCAGGUCCUCCGGAAAAGGGACGUGAAGCCCCCUUUGUAAUUUCUGCAUUAGCGUGCUCUCCUGGCAAGCAGGAAACCUCAUCAGAGAAGUCAGCCAAGGAAAGUCUUUAAAUGGAAAUUGUGCAAACGAGGAGCAAAUGCAUUAAAAAGUUGCUGACGGGCAUGAAAUGCUUUGAUGUGAAGACGGAAAACUCCAAGCAGGAAGGAUUUUAACAUUUUGAAUCUGAUUGACUCUGUGGUUUCUCAGCACAGUUAUUCCAUGGGCUAAAAUAAAUGCAGAAAUGGUACUUUCAGACCACAGCUGCAGAGGGGAUCGUGGUGAAUUUCAAUGAAAAUCCAUUUGAAUCUUGAGGUUCAGAUCUUAAAAAAGCAAAGGACAUGAGAGAAGUAAUAUUGUUGCUUGAAAUUUCAUUGCUUAUAUCUAAAAGAAACUCCUAUUUUUAAGAGAAAUGUUGAAUCUUUGCAACGUGGUAGACGCUCCCACAAAACUUUCUCCUGAAAUAGGAGAUAAAUGUUGGAAAGAGGCAAUGUAUUGAGUAUGCUGAUAGAGGUGGAGUUCAGAGACAGGCAAGCAUACAUAAGAGUCAGGAUGUUUUUCAGUAUUAUCUUUACAAAUGAGUUUCUUACAGUGGUCAAUGACAAACCAAUUUCAUUCAAAGCUUGCUUCAAUAGGCAAUGGUUUGAUGCCAAUAUGUUAGCUAUUUACUUUGACCACCGUAUGCAUUAAAAAGAAGAAAAAUUAAGAAUACUCAAGCAGAACCUCCAACUUAGAUAGCACUUUCCACAAAAAGUAAUGGAGGGAUAGACUGAAGUUAAAUGGGAUCAGGUAUGUGAUGAGAUCUCAGAAGUGUUUGCACAAUAAUGCAGAUACUCAUUUUAAACAGAGUCAUAAGGAUUGGAACUAAUAAAAAUAAUAGAAUAAAAUACCGAUCAAGAAUGUGUCCUCCUGCGUAUCUGGGUUUUGAAUUCUGGCUCCACAGAACUUGUCAGAUAUAUGACAUUAAAC
rnacentral:lncRNA from 1 species